AACGAACGCUGGCGGCAUGCCUAACACAUGCAAGUCGAACGAGACCUUCGGGUCUAGUGGCGCACGGGUGCGUAACGCGUGGGAACCUGCCCUUAGGUUCGGAAUAACUCCCCGAAAGGGGUGCUAAUACCGGAUAAUGUCUUCGGACCAAAGAUUUAUCGCCUUUGGAUGGGCCCGCGUUGGAUUCGCUAGUUGGUAGGGUAAAAGCCUACCAAGGCGACGAUCCAUAGCUGGUCUGAGAGGAUGAUCAGCCACACUGGGACUGAGACACGGCCCAGACUCCUACGGGAGGCAGCAGUGGGGAAUAUUGGACAAUGGGCGAAAGCCUGAUCCAGCAAUGCCGCGGGAGUGAUGAAGGCCUUAGGGUUGUAAAGCUCUUUUACCCGGGAUGAUAAUGACAGUACCGGGAGAAUAAGCGCCGGCUAACUCCGUG
rnacentral:rRNA from 1 species